CGUGUAGGCGGCCAAUCAAGUCCGGUGUGAAAGCCCGGGGCUCAGCUCCGGAAGUGCAUCGGAAACUAGUCGGCUCGAGCGCGAUAGAGGAGGGUGGAAUUCCUGGUGUAGCGGUGAAAUGCGUAGAUAUCAGGAGGAACAUCGGCGGCGAAGGCGGCCCUCUGGAUCGUUGCUGACGCUGAGACGCGAAAGCGUGGGGAGCAAACAGGAUUAGAUACCCUGGUAGUCCACGCUGUAAACGAUGGGUACUAGGUGUUCGGGGUGUUGACCCCCUGAGUGCCGACGCUAACGCAUUAAGUACCCCGCCUGGGGACUACGGCCGCAAGGCUAAA
rnacentral:rRNA from 1 species